AUUGAACGCUGGCGGCAGGCCUAACACAUGCAAGUCGAGCGGCAGCACGGGAAGCUUGCUUCCUGGUGGCGAGCGGCGGACGGGUGAGUAAUGCAUAGGAAUCUGCCCGGUAGUGGGGGAUAACCUGGGGAAACCCAGGCUAAUACCGCAUACGUCCUACGGGAGAAAGCAGGGGCUCUUCGGACCUUGCGCUAUCGGAUGAGCCUAUGUCGGAUUAGCUGGUUGGUGAGGUAAUGGCUCACCAAGGCGACGAUCCGUAGCUGGUCUGAGAGGAUGAUCAGCCACAUCGGGACUGAGACACGGCCCGAACUCCUACGGGAGGCAGCAGUGGGGAAUAUUGGACAAUGGGCGCAAGCCUGAUCCAGCCAUGCCGCGUGUGUGAAGAAGGCCCUCGGGUUGUAAAGCACUUUCAGUGGGGAAGAACGCCUGGUGGUUAAUACCCGUCAGGAAGGACAUCACCCACAGAAGAAGCACCGGCUAACUCCGUGCCAGCAGCCGCGGUAAUACGGAGGGUGCGAGCGUUAAUCGGAAUUACUGGGCGUAAAGCGCGCGUAGGGGGCUUGAUAAGCCGGUUGUGAGAGCCCCGGGCUCAACCUGGGAACGGCAUCCGGAACUGUCAGGCUAGAGUGCAGGAGAGGAAGGUAGAAUUCCCGGUGUAGCGGUGAAAUGCGUAGAGAUCGGGAGGAAUACCAGUGGCGAAGGCGGCCUUCUGGACUGACACUGACACUGAGGUGCGAAAGCGUGGGUAGCAAACAGGAUUAGAUACCCUGGUAGUCCACGCCGUAAACGAUGUCGACUAGCCGUUGGGUCCUUCGCGGACUUUGUGGCGCAGUUAACGCGAUAAGUCGACCGCCUGGGGAGUACGGCCGCAAGGUUAAAACUCAAAUGAAUUGACGGGGGCCCGCACAAGCGGUGGAGCAUGUGGUUUAAUUCGAUGCAACGCGAAGAACCUUACCUACCCUUGACAUCCUGCGAACCCUUCGGAGACGAAGGGGUGCCUUCGGGAACGCAGAGACAGGUGCUGCAUGGCUGUCGUCAGCUCGUGUUGUGAAAUGUUGGGUUAAGUCCCGUAACGAGCGCAACCCUUGUCCCUAUUUGCCAGCGAUUCGGUCGGGAACUCUAGGGAGACUGCCGGUGACAAACCGGAGGAAGGUGGGGACGACGUCAAGUCAUCAUGGCCCUUACGGGUAGGGCUACACACGUGCUACAAUGGUCAGUACAAAGGGUUGCGAACUUGCGAGAGUGAGCCAAUCCCAGAAAGCUGAUCUCAGUCCGGAUCGGAGUCUGCAACUCGACUCCGUGAAGUCGGAAUCGCUAGUAAUCGUGAAUCAGAAUGUCACGGUGAAUACGUUCCCGGGCCU
rnacentral:rRNA from 1 species